rnacentral:lncRNA from 1 species
AUAUGCUCUUGGUGUUACUAGGAAAGAAGACAUGGCAGAUGAAGAACCAGCAGAAGUACAAGAUGAAGAUGGAUUUCAAGAACAAGGUUUAAAAAUGAAUAAAGAAUUCCAGCCAGAAGAUGAUCACGGAUUUCCCCAGACACUUAAGAAAAUCAUGAAGCGGACGAGAGAGACAGAUGGGAAGGCUUCAGAAACAUCUGACAAGGACACAUCUGAAGAGGAUGAGGCUGACGAGGAUGAAAUAGAGGGUGAUGAAGACCCCCUUGAUGAACUGUCUGCAUCAGGCAUCCAACAUAGAAAUUCAUCUUCCAAACCCAAGAUGCCUUGUAAAAAUGCCAUGAGAAGACCUCAAAAGCUGGCGGUUUUACAAGCUGCAACCAGUGAGGGCGACUAGAAUAAAAAAGCCUAUUUUAACA